rnacentral:lncRNA from 10 species
GAAACAGCUUUCUCUAUAGAGAAAUGGAUCUGCGAGUGGAAAGGACCAGCCGGCAGUGGAUGCGCCGAAGUUUAUAGUCAGGUCUGAGGAGACGGUGUCUGAUUUACAUAGGGCUCAUAGAUUGGUUUGAUCAGGUAUGACGUUUACACUGUGCGCAGGGGAAGCCUGGUUACCCCACCCUAAUCUUAUUAUGGAAAUAGACUUUCUAGUUGAUCAACACCAUCUUGUCUGCUCCUUACAGUACACGUGGCUGACAAAGGGAAGGGAAGAUGGAGCCUCCAAUUUGAACAUGUGUACUCCGAAGUUCCUCCCUGCGUUCACUCGUGCAAGCUCCCAGCUUGCUUGUCUGUGUCUGCAGCUCGGCUUUACAGAAUGCUCUUUGUUAGAAAAUGAUUUGGGGCUGCUUUUCAUGAAAAAGAAAAGCCUUACUGAGGAUUCCCAUACUCCUACUAUCUGCCUAAGUGAUUUCUUCUAAACUCCUGUAUCAGUGAAGUGCAAAGCUAGUGAAAGCCUUUUGUUCUGCAGUGACUUCACUUGAGGGCCACUAAUUCAUUCUGCAACAGAGCUGGGAAAUCUUGGCAUUCUUACCACUUGCAGUAUUUCUGGAAGCCAGCCUGGAUCUGGAGUAGAUCCUGAGAGACCACCGCAGAGUCCUCAAGCCUGCCCCCACCCUGGGAUGACCAUGACCAUCUUUUUUUUUUUUUUUUUUUUUUUUUGAGACAGUCUCCCUCUUGUCACCCAGGCUGGAGUGCAGUGGCAUGAUCUGGGCUCACUGCAACCUCCACCUCCCAGGUUCAUGCAAUUCUCUUGCCUCAGCCUCCUGAGUAGCUGGGAUUACACGUGCCCGCCACCAUGCCCGGCUAAUUUUUGUAGUUUUAGUAGAGAUGGGGUUUCACCAUGUUGGUCAGGCUGGUCUGAAACUCCUGACCUCAAGUGAUCCGCCCGCCUCGGCCUCCCAAAGUGCUGGGAUUACAGGCAUGAGCCACUGCGCCAAGCUGAACAUCUUUAUUAAAUGCUCCUGCCAGGUUCUGGGCAGACAAGCUUUGAUUUACUUUCCCUUUCAAGAGCCAAGGGAAUAAAGCUACCAAGUACGAGUUGAUGAUUUGAACUAAUUCUGAAGAUUUGUGAAAAUGCUCAAAAUCCAAGUGGGGAGUGAAGAGCAGCCGCCUGACAACUAAAACUGGGAAAUGGGUGUUAUUUGUCUCACAGUCCCCGCUUGCCCCUGCCUGCGCUGCUCCAUCUCUUCCCCUCCUCCCUGCCACUUCAGGAGCCCAUGCCCUCUCCCCUUAUUGAAACCAAAACAAACACUGCUGUUCUAAAAGAAAGGAUGUGAAUAAUAGAAUCCUUCGAUAACUAGGAGGGCCUUUAGUGAGUUAUCUAAUCCAACUCCCUCAUUUUGUAAAAUACUUGUCACUCCACAUUUGGAAAUCUAAAUCUGGCCCUUUUUCCUUACAUCUUGGAAGGUUCUAAUUAUGUAUUUUCCUAGAAGUGGAAGAAAAGAAGUCACUUCUCAUCUGUUGGUCUCCUUCCUUUUCCUGGAGCCUGCGUCUCCAAGCAGAGAAGGGUAUUUUGUGGCACCUCAAAAGAGAAGCAAUAAAACAUUACACAUAUCCAUGCACCCAGUACCCUGAAGGGUUCCAAAGCCAUGUGAUAUGGUGUGGCCACGUGAUAUGGUGUGUCCCACCCAGAUCUCACCUCGAGUUGUAAUAAGCCCCACGUGUCAAGGGUGGAGCCAGGUGAAGAUACUUGAACCAUGGGGGUGGUUUCCCCCAUACUGUUCUUGUGGUGGUGAGUAAGUCUCACAAGAUCUGAUGGUUUUAUAAAGGGGAGUUCCCCUGGGCAUACUCUCUUGCCUGCUGCCGUGUAAGACUUGACUUUGCUCUUCAUUCACCUUCUGCCAUGAUUGUGAGGCCUCCCUAGUCAU